rnacentral:rRNA from 1 species
UACGUAGGGUGCAAGCGUUAAUCGGAAUUACUGGGCGUAAAGAGCAUGUAGGCGGAUUAAUAAGUUGGAAGUGAAAUCCUAUAGCUUAACUAUAGAACUGCUUCCAAAACUGUUGAUCUAGAAUAUGGGAGAGGUAGAUGGAAUUUCUGGUGUAGGGGUAAAAUCCGUAGAGAUCAGAAGGAAUACCGAUUGCGAAGGCGAUCUACUGGAACAUUAUUGACGCUCAGAUGCGAAAGCGUGGGGAGCAAACAGGAUUAGAUACCCUGGUAGUCCACGCCCUAAACGAUGUACACUAGUUGUUGCUAUACUAGAUAUGGCAGUAAUGCAGUUAACACAUUAAGUGUACCGCCUGGGGAGUACGGUCGCAAGAUUAAAACUCAAAGGAAUAGACGGGGACCCGCACAAGCGGUGGAGCAUGUGGUUUAAUUCGACGAUACGCGAAAAACCUUACCUGGCCUUGACAUAGUAAGAACUUUCUAGAGAUAGAUUGGUGCUAGCUUGCUAGAGCUUACAUACAGGUGCUGCACGGCUGUCGUCAGCUCGUGUCGUGAGAUGUUGGGUUAAGUCCCGCAACGAGCGCAACCCACGUGAUUAGUUGCUAACGGUUCGGCCGAGAACUCUAAUCAGACUGCCUUCGUAAGGAGGAGGAAGGUGUGGACGACGUCAAGUCAUCAUGGCCCUUACGGCCAGGGCUACACACGUGCUACAAUGGGAUAUACAAAGAGCAGCAAUACCGCGAGGUGGAGCAAAUCUAGAAAAUAUCUCCCAGUUCGGAUUGUUCUCUGCAACUCGAGAACAUGAAGUUGGAAUCGCUAGUAAUCGUAGAUCAGCAUUGCUACGGUGAAUACGUUCCCGGGUCU